rnacentral:rRNA from 1 species
GAUGAGUUGCGAACGGGUGAGUAACGCGUAGGUAACCUGCCUUGUAGCGGGGGAUAACUAUUGGAAACGAUAGCUAAUACCGCAUAACAAUGGAUGACACAUGUCAUUUAUUUGAAAGGGGCAAUUGCUCCACUACAAGAUGGACCUGCGUUGUAUUAGCUAGUAGGUGAGGUAAUGGCUCACCUAGGCGACGAUACAUAGCCGACCUGAGAGGGUGAUCGGCCACACUGGGACUGAGACACGGCCCAGACUCCUACGGGAGGCAGCAGUAGGGAAUCUUCGGCAAUGGGGGCAACCCUGACCGAGCAACGCCGCGUGAGUGAAGAAGGUUUUCGGAUCGUAAAGCUCUGUUGUAAGUCAAGAACGGGUGUGAGAGUGGAAAGUUCACACUGUGACGGUAGCUUACCAGAAAGGGACGGCUAACUACGUGCCAGCAGCCGCGGUAAUACGUAGGUCCCGAGCGUUGUCCGGAUUUAUUGGGCGUAAAGCGAGCGCAGGCGGUUUGAUAAGUCUGAAGUUAAAGGCUGUGGCUCAACCAUAGUUCGCUUUGGAAACUGUCAAACUUGAGUGCAGAAGGGGAGAGUGGAAUUCCAUGUGUAGCGGUGAAAUGCGUAGAUAUAUGGAGGAACACCGGUGGCGAAAGCGGCUCUCUGGUCUGUAACUGACGCUGAGGCUCGAAAGCGUGGGGAGCGAACAGGAUUAGAUACCCUGGUAGUCCACGCCGUAAACGAUGAGUGCUAGGUGUUGGAUCCUUUCCGGGAUUCAGUGCCGCAGCUAACGCAUUAAGCACUCCGCCUGGGGAGUACGACCGCAAGGUUGAAACUCAAAGGAAUUGACGGGGGCCCGCACAAGCGGUGGAGCAUGUGGUUUAAUUCGAAGCAACGCGAAGAACCUUACCAGGUCUUGACAUCCCGAUGCUAUUUCUAGAGAUAGAAAGUUACUUCGGUACAUCGGUGACAGGUGGUGCAUGGUUGUCGUCAGCUCGUGUCGUGAGAUGUUGGGUUAAGUCCCGCAACGAGCGCAACCCCUAUUGUUAGUUGCCAUCAUUCAGUUGGGCACUCUAGCGAGACUGCCGGUAAUAAACCGGAGGAAGGUGGGGAUGACGUCAAAUCAUCAUGCCCCUUAUGACCUGGGCUACACACGUGCUACAAUGGUUGGUACAACGAGUUGCGAGUCGGUGACGGCGAGCUAAUCUCUUAAAGCCAAUCUCAGUUCGGAUUGUAGGCUGCAACUCGCCUACAUGAAGUCGGAAUCGCUAGUAAUCGCGGAUCAGCACGCCGCGGUGAAUACGUUCCCGGGCCUUGUACACACCGCCCGUCACACCACGAGAGUUUGUAACACCCGAAGUCGGUGAGGUAACCUUUUGGAG